GCUGCUGUUGCAGAUAUGUAUUGCUUUUAACUGCUUGUGUCAUUCUUGAUGAAUCAUGAGACUGUCACGAAGUGGGAUGAACAUAGUAUUCUAAUGUCUUUACAAAUUUAUGUGAUGUUUAAAUAGGUGGUUGGCAAUAUGAAUUUGUUACAUACCCUGGUUUUAGAAAAAGUAGCAGGCACUGGCUUCCUUUCUAUUUUGAUUUUGUUUUUAAUUGAGGUAAAUCUUAUUACAAUUCUUAUGGUUAAACGGUAGAUUGUUAUCAUGCAUUGCAAAUUG
rnacentral:lncRNA from 1 species